rnacentral:rRNA from 1 species
GAUCCUGGCUCAGGAUGAACGCUGGCGGCGUGCUUAACACAUGCAAGUCGAACGGAACUACUUUAAUGAGAUUCUUCGGAAAGGAUUUGAUUUAGUUUAGUGGCGGACGGGUGAGUAACGCGUGGGUAACCUGCCUUGUACAGGGGGAUAACAGUUAGAAAUGACUGCUAAUACCGCAUAAGACCACAGCACCACAUGGUGCAGGGGUAAAAACUGAGGUGGUACAAGAUGGGCCCGCGUCUGAUUAG